CAGCAGAUGAACUAGAGUUGCAACGCCACAACAACAAAAGCAUAAAACCUCCUUGGCAGUAGAAAGCCAUGGACUAAAUGAGAAGCUCAGCACCAUCAAUAGAAAGUACCUGUACUGUUAAUGGAGCUGCAAGAACUGAACUUAGCACAUCAUUCCAAGUCCUUGUGCAAGUGUUUCACCAAGUCUGAAUCACCAAGCUUGUAGUAUUUAAAAUUGAGUCCUGUAAUCUUAUAUGAGAAGAGGACUGUUGGUAUAUGCUU
rnacentral:misc_RNA from 1 species